GGGAGUAACGCGUGGGUAACCUGCCUCAUACAGGGGGAUAACAGUUAGAAAUGACUGCUAAUACCGCAUAAGCGCACAGUGCUGCAUGGCACAGUGUGAAAAACUCCGGUGGUAUGAGAUGGACCCGCGUCUGAUUAGCUAGUUGGUGGGGUAACGGCCUACCAAGGCGACGAUCAGUAGCCGGCCUGAGAGGGUGAACGGCCACAUUGGGACUGAGACACGGCCCAA
rnacentral:rRNA from 1 species